GUUACCCUCUCGUUCCUGCCACCGCCUGUAAUUUCCUUGCCCCGCCGAGGGCAUUUUGGUCAUUUCACGUGCAGGUUUAUAAAGGGCAGCCGCUCUGUGUUGAACCCUAGCCGCCGCCUCCUCUCUCUUCCCGCGUGCGUCCUCUCCCCUCCCCUCCCACGCGCCUCCUCUCCUCCCACCCACAUCGCCGCCGCCGCCACCCACCGCCUCGAACCGCGCCGUCGGCGGCCAGAUCCGCCGCAACAGAGCCCCCCUCCCAACGACGACGAGCAGCAGCGGAGGGAGGACGAGGAGCGCGACGGCGGCAGCGGCGGCGGGGAGCAGCAGCAGCAGGCCAAGGCGACACAGCAACAGGCCUUGGGCUUGGGCGACGUCGAUGCCGCCAAGAUAAGCAGCAGAAGAGGAGAGUUCAUCCCCUCCUGGCCCGACACCGGCAGCCAUGGGGCUGCGCCUCCUCUCUGCCUCUGCAGAGGAGAGGAGAGGGGAUGAGCUUGCAGCUCCUGAUGUGCUUCAAUUCGAUUUGGAGUAGAGCAAUUGAUGUAUUCCUACAGCUGCUGUAGAGGAUAGGAGAGCACAUCACACAAUUCUCCACCUUUAAUGAACAACGUCCGGCAUCUCCGCUCCACGGCGUCACCGACUAGCUAGAUGAGCUGGAGGUGUCGGAUGUGUCCACGGUGUUGGAUGUGCCUCAGGAUCUGAACGAACAACGGGCUAGGCAUACCACUCUCUUGUCCAGUGCCGUUCUUUGUGUGUGUGCCUUCUAGUGUGAUCUACUUCUUGACAUAUCCCUAGGCAUCUUGACAUAUCUCUAGACAGGUUCUCAUGUUCAGCGCAUCCAGUUUGGUUGAUUAUUUUGGGGGGCUUAUUUUGGAAAGGCUUUGAGAGGCUGUCUGAAUCACCACCUUGUGUUAAUAGAAUUAUACAUAGUUUUGUACAGCCAUUUCAUUUUGCAUAGGGCUACGAAGUACAAUCAAACAAUCUGCAGCUUAGCACUACUGUAUUUCCUGGACUCCCCAAUUUGGGAUUUAAGCAUUGAGGCGUUGAAUAUGUCUAUAUGAACUGUAGUUCUAUAUUUCCUGCUACUCGAGCUAGCUCUCUCUCUCUCCGACGUCUUGGUUUGCAGGCUGCUGCGUGGUGAGGUACUGACUAAGGAGCAUGAAUCGCCACCACCACGUACCAGAUGUUGCCGUCAAGGUCGGCGUCAUAGUGACUGCCGAUGACUUGCAGCUGAUGCAUUGAUCAACACCGGUCUGGCGAAACUGAGCUAUAAAUAUGUGAAAAUCGAUGAUUGGUGGGCAGAAUUAAAGAGGGAUUACCAAAGAGAUACACCUGAGCAAGCAGCUAGACCCAAGGUACUAAUGUAAAUCGCUCAACCAUUUUGAUAAUUAGUCUCUCAAGAGUUCUUUUCUUAGUAUAUUAUUCUUCAAGUUCCACUUACAUUUUACUAAGUCAUGCCCAAAUGCCUUUUCUAUAAAUCAUUCUAAAAGAUCCAUUUGUGACUUACUACCCCCCCUCUGCCCAUAUUUUUAUCUAUGGAUGCUGCACUCUCUUUCUCUCUCUGUUAUGGCCAUGUUUAGUGCUUCCGUUUAGUCCAAAGGGAGUAGCUCAAUUGUGUCCUGCAUAAAUUAGAUCUUUCCGAAAACAUUUUAACCAGGAUCCACCUUGGUUCGGUAUGUGAUUAUAAUCACAUCUCGCGCUAUAGUAAAAUCGUAGUUGUGCCUUCUGAAACAUCUUUUCUAGGGCACUGAUUCAGGUAGAUAGUUCUAAAUUUACUGCAGACACAUAUAAGCUCACUCGCUCAAUUUUGAAAUUGUUCAUAUUUAUGGCUUCGGUAAGUAUACAUAGUAAUCAUGACUAGAUCGUAGAAGUUAGAGAUGUACAAAUGAUUGAUUGGAAAUAUAUAUUUGUAUUUGCAACAACACACUAGAUCACGUCAGGUAAAUACUUUUGUAGAAUAUACGUCAGGUUUUGAACUUUUGACGACGACUGCUGAAAAACUAAAGUAAAUCCAUGAUAUAUAGUCAGUAUAAUAUAUAUUUAGAUAUUCAUGGCACUGCAUAAGCAUGGUUCAGUUCCCCUGGGAGCACUAGCUGCUGGCUUUUACAUGUAUUUCUUGAUUCUAAUAAGAUGCAGCUAAUCUUAGAAAAUAUAGUAAGCACCUAUCAUGAAAUUUAAAACUGGCGUGAUGUGUCUCUCCGUUGAUAACUAUGAUGCUUGCAUAGAUGGUUGAUUUAUUUGAUUAUAAUCAGACUAAACCAUCAUAAUAUUAAGUACUGAUUAUUCGGAUGAAAAAUGAUCAAAGAAAUACAUGUACCGAAGUCACAUCUAUUGAGAUAAUGAUUAGGCAUACAAUUGCUUCUUUAAAUUAUUGUGAUAUUGUAGUUCUCUGUAGUCUAAUAAAUUAUGUACUGUGGUCCUCCGCCUCACCGCUUAACGGGAUGGACCGGGCAACGUAUGCCAAGGCGAGACCUGGCUCUCCUCUUAAGUUGAUUGGUUUCUCUUUUUGCAUUCCUUUUUCUAUGGUCUCAUUUGGCAUUUCUCCUUCAUGAUUAUUAUGUUGUCCCUUUUGGGUUGUCAGAUGCUUUACCUCGGCAGCAUGAUGAGAUUCCUUGCUUUCUCCAUGUGAAUUUUCCAAAAAGCUUCUCUAUUUAAGGAACCAUUUUUUCUCAUUGAUGUUGCAUCGACCAAUGCUUAUAGUACCUAAUAGAACUAAAAGUUGGUUACCCGGUCAACACACCUUAUAAAAAAUAUGAAUGGGCAAGAUGUGGCCAUCUAGAGUAGAAUUUGGUUCAUUCAUUAAUGUAGAAAGACAGGGGUCAAAGUGAUCUUUUUCCAAGGUAAUCACCACUGUUUUGUUUUAGGCUUAUGUGCUUGAUGUUUUUUAGGAUCUCUAUCAAUAAGGGGAUAUAUCAAGGUAGUGUGCUGUGUUCUAAUUAUAAGAAGAGAAAGUUAAGAACUUCAUAGUUACAAUGUAAUCAUGGCUAGAGAGUAGAGGUUAGAGAUGUACAAAUGAUUGAUUAAAAAAAUAUUUGUACUUGUAACAACACACUUAGUAUUCGUGACCCGGGUAAGGAACAAUUCAUGCCCGUUCAAGCAUUGUCCUUAAGCUACUGCAGAUCUUAGGGAGCGUCAUCAACGGAUUCGUAUUGCCACUUAAGGAAGAGCAUGAAUUGUUCCUUACCUGGGCCUUGAUUCCACUUCACAAGCCAAGUGCAUUGCAAUGCACCAUCAACAGUUGUCUUACUGUAUUACCCAGUUUGUCGAAAAAGAUUGCAAGCUUCCAUACACAGUUAUCACGGGCCUACUGAAAUAUUGGCCCAUCAGAAACAACACCAAGGAGGUGAUGUGUUUGGGAGAGUUGGAAGAGAUACUAGAAGCUACACAGCCUGCGGAGUUUCAGAAAUGCAUGGUUCCUCUUUUCCGCCAGAUUGCAGGUUGUCUGAAUAAUUCUCACUUUCAGGACUGUUUGGGAUAUCAAGCAGAAAAUUGUUCUUGGCAUGGCUGUCAAUCGUGGCUGCUACAUUGGUCAAAGCCAGAGCCUUAAUAUCAGCAUGGGUCAAGUCAACUCCGAGAAGCUAACUUCACUGCACUUCCACGCCUGGUGCAAGGUUUUCCUGUCGAUUUAGAUAUAGUUCUAACACUCCAUGAUUAUACUGAAAAUUUCAGCAGUCGGUGUUGAACAGGUCAUUAUGGCGCUAUGCUUGAGCGAGUCACAUGAUAAGGCGUUUAACCAAAGCUAUCUAUAUGUGUAAUCUGUUACUAUACAAUAUUAGAAUCAAAUAGAUUGGUUAUUCUGGGCUAUCUUUGUGCCUUGCUUUUAUUUAUUUUCGAUAAACUGGCAGGAGCGCUGCCUUUCAAGUAGAAGAAGAGAGAGUGUUACAAAUACUUUACACAAGGCUUUUCCCUACAAGAGUCCGGAGGCGGGGGAGCCUCUCAAACAUCACCGGCAUGCGGAUUACUCACGAAUGAGAAAGCAACUGGAUCUUGGUGCCUUUCCGCUCUGCUAAGGUUUGGAAAGCACAGGCCACCCCCAAAUGCAAGCUCUUCGCCUAGCUUGUCCUGCAUGGAAGAAUCCUCACGGUGGAAAACCUGGCAAUUCUGAAACUGUACUUGCAAAGGUGGGUUGGAGAGGAAAUUGUCGAUGCUCAAGCCAUGUCAAGAAGUGGAGCAAGAAGAGUGAAUCGGGAAAACUGGGAACACGUCUAUUUUUUAUGGCUUAUCCUUAGAUUGUAUUUGUUGUGGCGAAUUGACCGAGUUUUCUUACCGCUGUCGAUGCUGGCCAAUAAUGAAUCAUUGAGGAAUGUUGAACCAUUAAGAGUUGAAUUUAGGGUCUA